GAGUUUGAUCAUGGCUCAGGAUGAACGCUGGCGGCGUGCCUAAUACAUGCAAGUCGAGCGAACGGACGAGAAGCUUGCUUCUCUGAUGUUAGCGGCGGACGGGUGAGUAACACGUGGAUAACCUACCUAUAAGACUGGGAUAACUUCGGGAAACCGGAGCUAAUACCGGAUAAUAUUUUGAACCGCAUGGUUCAAAAGUGAAGACGGUCUUGCUGUCACUUAUAGAUGGAUCCGCGCUGCAUUAGCUAGUUGGUAAGGUAACGGCUUACCAAGGCAACGAUGCAUAGCCGACCUGAGAGGGUGAUCGGCCACACUGGAACUGAGACACGGUCCAGAC
rnacentral:rRNA from 1 species